UAGUUAACAGUGUCUGUUCGACGUGUGUUGGUUUAGCAGUCGAUAGUUGAACCGUGAAUACUGAGUAUCGUAACUAUGUUCGAGUAGUACGCAAUGCGUUUUGUGUUAACAUAUUUCUGCGAUAGGUUAUUUUUAGAUAACCACAACCAAUUAUUUAUUUGUGUAAUAUCAUUUACACCAGACUGUAAAAGAACAGGAAGUUACUAUAGAAUGAGAGCUACUCCACAAACGCGCAAUUUGUACAAUCUUUAUCUAAUUUGUAUUACUUUUGAUAAAGCUCUCGGAUUUAACUAUCAUCAGGAAGUUAUAUCACAGCAAAUGCAUCGCCUGUAAUUUCAUCACAAAAUAUUCAUAUUGCCUUGCGAUACAUUAUCAAUAAAUUUCUCGUCUUUUUCUUUAUCCACCGAGUAUGUACAUCGCUAAACAUUAUUUAAAACUUUUUAUUCAUUGAGGCACUGCAUUUUGUUAAGAAUGAAACAGAAAUUCAAAAGGAAAAAUAUUUAACCCUACAAUUUAGAAAUUGUGAGAAACAUUGAAAAUGAAAGAAUCAAGAAACGAAACAAUAAACAAACAGUAUAUCGCAGUCAUUGGACUACGAUCAUGCUGGGGCACCGCCUUGAAGAAUUUUAAUCAAACACAUCGACAUCAGGGCUUGUUUUCUAGGCCUGGUAAUCAUUCUAUAGAUCUCUUUUACAGAACCGCUAAUAAAUAGAGAUAUAAACAAACCAACACCAGUUAUCAAGCGGUAGUGGGGGACAAUCAUAAGCACAAAGAGACACAGACUUAUAUGAUGGGUGUCUACUCUUAAGGCAUUAGCCAAACCAGGGCUAUAGUAGAAGACACUUUCUCAAGAUGCUGCGGGGUGGGACUGAACCUGAGACCAUGUGGUCGCAAAA